AAUAUUAAGGAUUGAUUGUUUCACAGAUUUCAGUAAAAUCACAGUAAAAAGUCAUAAUUUAUGUAAAAUCCAUAAAAAACAGUAAAUAAUGUGGAAUCAGAUGAUUUCAUGUCAGCAGAUGAUUCUGUUUUUAUUUUCAUCUCAUUGUGUUUCCAUUCAUGUGUGUUGGGUCUCUACACUGUAACAUUGUUUUUAUUAUGUUUUAAACUGGAA